rnacentral:rRNA from 1 species
AUUGAACGCUGGCGGCGUGCUUAACACAUGCAAGUCGAGCGGUAAGGCCCUUCGGGUACGACGAGCGGCGAACGGGUGAGUAACACGUGGGUGACCUGCCUCUAGCUCUGGGAUAAGCCUGGGAAACUGGGUCUAAUACCGGAUAUGACUCCACGGCGCAUGUUGUGGGGUGGAAAGCCUUGUGUGGCUAGAGAUGGGCCCGCGGCCUAUCAGCUUGUUGGUGGGGNGAUGGCCUACCAAGGCGACGACGGUAGCCGGCCUGAGAGGGCGACCGGCCACACUGGGACUGAGACACGGCCCAGACUCCUACGGGAGGCAGCAGUGGGGAAUCUUGGACAAUGGGCGCAAGCCUGAUCCAGCCAUGCCGCGUGAGUGAAGAAGGCCUUAGGGUUGUAAAGCUCUUUUACCA